ACGUAGGGAGCAAGCGUUGUUCGGAUUUACUGGGCGUAAAGCGUGCGCAGGCGGUGAUGUAAGACAGGCGUGAAAUCCCCGGGCUCAACCUGGGAAUUGCGCUUGUGACUGCAUCGCUUGAGUGCGGCAGAGGAGACUGGAAUUCCUGGUGUAGCAGUGAAAUGCGUAGAUAUCAGGAGGAAUACCGAUGGCGAAGGCAGGUCUCUGGGCUGACACUGACGCUCAUGCACGAAAGCGUGGGGAGCAAACAGGA
rnacentral:rRNA from 1 species